UCGUGCGUCAUCUCCACGCGCGUCUCACCGUGCGCGGAGCAGGUGGCGCGGAUUAAGGACGUCAAAAUCAUUGACAGAGUGAAAGCGCGGUGCCUGCUGCUGCCAUGGUGGCUGGUGGCUGGGUACACUAUGUCUAGACUGGGGGCCCUGGGCGGCUCCCGCGCCGGGUUGGGACUGUUACUUGGUACUGCCGCCGGCCUUGGAUUCCUGUGCGUCCUUUACAGCCAGCGAUGGAAACGGACCCAGCGCCAUGGCCGGAGUCACAGUCUGCCCAACUCCCUGGACUAUGCGCAGGCUUCAGAGCGUGGACGCCAGGUGACACAGUUUCGGGCUAUCCCAGGUGAAGCUGGAGAUGCUGCCAUACUGCCCAGCCUCUCACAGGAAGGGCAGGAGAAGGUGCUGGACCGCCUGGACUUUGUGCUGACCAGUCUUAUGGCGCUGCGGCGCGAGGUGGAGGAGCUUCAGAGAAGCCUGCAAGGACUAGCUGGGGAGAUUGUUGGGGAGGUCCGCUCUCAUAUAGAAGAGAACCAGAGAGUGGCCCGGCGGCGCAGGUUCCCUUUUGCCAGAGAGAGGAGUGACUCCACGGGCUCCAGCUCUGUCUACUUCACCGCCUCCUCAGGGGCUGCACUCACAGACGCCGAGAGCGAGGGAGGUUAUACAACAGCCAACGCGGAGUCUGAUUACGAGCGGGACUCCGACAAGGAGAGUGGAGAUGCUGAGGACGAAGUGAGCUGCGAGACCGUGAGGAUGGGGAGGAAGGACUCUCUGGACCUGGAUGUGGAGGCGGCGUCCAGUCCGGCGGCGGCCGCCUUGGAGGAGGAUGACUCCUCAGGCCGAGAGGAUGUGCAGCUGGUCCUGCUGCAGGCCGAUGAGCUGCACCAGGGCAGCAAGCAGGACAAGCGGGAAGGCUUCCAGCUGCUGCUCAACAAUAAGCUGGCGUAUGGAAGCCGACAAGACUUUCUGUGGCGCCUGGCCCGGGCCUACAGUGACAUGUCAGACCUUACUGAGGAGGAGAGCGGGAAGAAGUCCUAUGCCCUAAAUGGAAAAGAAGAAGCAGAGGCUGCUCUGAAGAAAGGAGAUGAGAGUGCUGCGUGCCACCUGUGAUGUAAGCUGAGAGGCUGUGUUUUUCCAUCUAUGGCUGAAACUUUCCGUGCAAAGGUUCUGCUCAGAAGCCAGGUAUGCAGUGCUCUGUGGUCAGCUGGCUGAGCAUGAGGGCAUCUCGAAACGCAUCCAGAGUGGCUUUAGCUUCAAGGAACAUGUGGACAAAGCCAUUGAACUUCAGCCAGAAGACCCCAGGGGUCACUUUCUUCUUGGCAGGUGGUGCUACCAGGUUUCUCACUUGAACUGGUUGGAAAAAAAAACGGCUACCGCCUUGUUUGAAAGCCCCCUUAGUGCUACUGUGCAGGACGCUCUGCAGAGUUUCCUUAAGGCUGAGGAACUACAGCCAGGAUUUUCAAAAGCUGGACGGGUAUAUAUUUCUAAGUGCUAUAGAGAAUUAGGAAAAAACUCUGAAGCUAGAAAGUGGAUGAAGCUGGCUCAGGAACUGCCAGACGUCACUAAUGAGGAUUCAGCUUUCCAAAAAGACCUGGAAGAACUAGAAGUAAUUUUAGGAUAAUAAUCACACUUCAAUGACGUGGGGGCUACUCCUUAAAUGUGGAAAAGAAAUCAAGUUGCUUUUUUCCUCUGUGACUCCCCCAUGGAGUUCAGGAAGCCAAGCAAGGUGUCCUGGCCCCUGGAGAUCUGACUGCUAACACCACCAUCCCUCAGCUUUUUAUGUUAUCAGUUAAUUUAUUCUAAUCUCCUACCUUAAUUUAAAUUGGGGGAAUUUAAAUUACUUGCAGCUAAGGUUUCUGCUUUCUUCCUCUUAAGUGAAUUCUUGAAAAAUCAAGACAGUAUAGCCAUAGGGUUUAGUGUGGACCCAGCCCAGAAGGCCAAGAGCUGAGAAUGAAGUAGCAGAACUGUCUUCCAGCUGCCAGUGAGGUGGAUGGACUUCAGAGCCACACAACAGAGCAUAGGACUUGUAAUCUUUUUUGCUAAUAUUCAACAUGUAUUUAUUGUCCUUUAAUGUCACACCCUACCUACGAGGACAAAAGGAGCCAGCACAGCCCAGGUACUGCCCUCCUACCACCCAUCAUGUAUAUAAUACGCUCCCUGUAUUCCUGGGUGAGGGCUGGACCAUGGACUGGAGACCUGGCAGCUUUUGGGAUGACAACGCUGGCAAAGGGUCUAUGAAUCUAUUUUGAAAGUGACUUAUCUGGAGAGGUGCCUGGAGUAUUUUUGGUACAAAUCUGAAAUAAACUAAAGUUGAUUACAAGGA